rnacentral:rRNA from 1 species
AUGAAAUUUCAAUGGCCGCAGUACCCUGACUGUGCUAAGGUAGCGUAAUCAGUUGGCUUUUAAAUGAAGUCGAGAAUGAAUGGGUUUUCGGGAAUGAGCUGUCUCCUUUUGUAUUAAUGAAAUUAUUUAGAAGGUGAAAAUCCCUUUAGUUAGAAAAAAGACGAGAAGACCCCUAGAGCUUUGAUAAACCCACAUUUUUGUGACUUUUUUUUGCUGGGGCGGCAAGGAGUACAAUUAACUCUCCUAUGAAGAUCUGAAGACGAAAAUUUUAAGAAUCAAUAAGCUACCUUGGGGAUAACAGCAUAAUUAAUUUUUAGUUUGUGACCUCGAUGUUGGACUAGGGAUAAUUUUUGGCUAGAAGCCAAAAGUAUUGUUCUGUUCGAACUCU